rnacentral:rRNA from 1 species
GAUUUACUGGGCGUAAAGGGCGCGUAGGCGGCGCAACAAGUCACUUGUGAAAUCUCCGGGCUUAACCCGGAGCGGCCAAGUGAUACUGUCGUGCUAGAGUGCGGAAGGGGCUACUGGAAUUCUCGGUGUAGCGGUGAAAUGCGUAGAUAUCGAGAGGAACACCUGCGGCGAAGGCGGGUAGCUGGGCCGACACUGACGCUGAGGCGCGAAAGCCAGGGGAGCGAACGGGAUUAGAUACCCCGGUAGUCCUGGCCUUAAACGAUGGAUACUUGGUGUCCGGGGUUACAUAGUCCCCGGGUGCCGGCGCUAACGCAUUAAGUAUCCCGCCUGGGGAGUACGGUCGCAAGACUGAAACUCAAAGGAAUUGACGGGGACCCGCACAAGCGGUGGAGCAUGUGGUUUAAUUCGACGCAACGCGAAGAACCUUACCUGGGCUAGAAUGCCUCCGACAACCCCGGAGACGGGGCCUCCUGGGUAAAACCAGGCGGAGUGCAAGGUGCUGCAUGGCU